AGGCCUGGGAGGAAGCCACCCAGUCUUGGCCUCAGGAAGGAGCAUUCGAGCACCUCUGCCAUGGCCUGGGCCACGCUCUUCAUUGGCCUCCUUGCUCACUGCACAGGCUCUGUGGCCUCCUAUGUGCUGACGCAGCCAUCCUCAGUGUCAGUGACUCCGGGACAGACAGCCAGGAUGACCUGUGAGGGAGACAACAUUGGCAAUAAAUACGUGCACUGGUACCAGCAGAAGCCAGACCAGGCCCCCAUCCUGGUCAUAUAUAGAGAUAACAGCAGGCCUUCUGGGAUUCCUGACCGGUUCUCUGGUGCCAACUCUGGGAACACAGCCACACUGACGAUCACAGGCAUCCAGGCUGAGGACGAGGCUGACUAUUACUGUCAGGUGUGGGGUAGUAGUACUGAUCCUCACAAUGACACAAGCAAAUGAGGAAGCAAGACAAAA